UACGUAGGGUGCAAGCGUUGUCCGGAAUUAUUGGGCGUAAAGAGCUCGUAGGCGGUCUGUCGCGUCGGGAGUGAAAACUCAGGGCUUAACCCUGAGCCUGCUUCCGAUACGGGCAGACUAGAGGUAUGCAGGGGAGAACGAAUUCCUGGUGUAGCGGUGGAAUGCGCAGAUAUCAGGAGGAACACCGGUGGCGAAGGCGGUUCUCUGGGCAUUACCUGACGCUGAGGAGCGAAAGUGUGGGGAGCGAACAGG
rnacentral:rRNA from 1 species